GAUGAACGCUAGCUACAGGCUUAACACAUGCAAGUCGAGGGGUAACGAGAGGAAAGCUUGCUUUCCUUGUCGACGACCGGCGCACGGGUGAGUAACGCGUAUCCAACCUGCCCCCAACUAGGGAAUAACCUUGCGAAAGUAAGACUAAUACCCUAUAAUUUCCUCAGAUGUCAUCUGACGAGGACUAAAGAUUUAUCGGUUGUGGAUGGGGAUGCGUCUGAAUAGCUUGUUGGCGGGGUAAAGGCCCACCAAGGCAACGAUCAGUAGGGGUUCUUAGAGGAAGGUCCCCCACAUUGGAACUGAGACACGGUCCAAACUCCUACGGGAGGCAGCAGUGAGGAAUAUUGGUCAAUGGGCGGAAGCCUGAACCAGCCAAGUAGCGUGCAGGAUGACGGCCCUAUGGGUUGUAAACUGCUUUUAUACAGGAAUAAAGUUAGCCACGUGUGGUUAUUUGUAGGUACUGUAUGAAUAAGGACCGGCUAAUUCCGUGCCAGCAGCCGCAGUAA
rnacentral:rRNA from 1 species